AAGUCGAGCCGGCCAAGCGGUAGCAAAUACCGCCUAGAGCGGCGGACUGGUGAGUAACGCGUGGGUGAUCUACCCCAUAGGUUGGGGAUAGCCUGUAGAAAUAUAGGGUAAUACCGAAUAUCCUUACCGGACUUUGGUUUGGCAAGGAAAGGCGCUUCGGCGCCGCCUGUGGAUGAGCCCGCGUACUAUUAGCUAGUUGGUGAGGUAAUGGCCCACCAAGGCGAUGAUAGUUAGCCGGCCUGAGAGGGUGAUCGGCCACAUUGGGACUGAGAUACGGCCCAAACUCCUACGGGAGGCAGCAGCUAAGAAUAUUCCGCAAUGGACGAAAGUCUGACGGAGCGACGCCGCGUGAAUGACGAAGGCCGAAAGGUUGUAAAAUUCUUUUGCCACUGAAGAAUAAGCAUGGUAGGUAAUGACCGUGUGAUGACGUUAGGUGGUGAAUAAGCCCCGGCUAAUUACGUGCCAGCAGCCGCGGUAACACGUAAGGGGCGAGCGUUGUUCGGAAUUAUUGGGCGUAAAGGGCGCGUAGGCGGCUCUGUAAGUCUGAAGUGAAAUCCCACAGCUUAACUGUGGAACUGCUUCGGAAACUGCUGAGCUCGAGUCUAGGAGGGGAAGUUGGAAUUCCUAGUGUAGGGGUGAAAUCUAUAGAUAUUAGGAAGAACACCAAUGGCGAAGGCAAACUUCUAGCCUAAGACUGACGCUGAGGCGCGAAAG
rnacentral:rRNA from 1 species